rnacentral:rRNA from 1 species
CCUACGGGCGGCAGCAGUGAGGAAUAUUGGUCAAUGGACGAGAGUCUGAACCAGCCAAGUAGCGUGAAGGAUGACUGCCCUAUGGGUUGUAAACUUCUUUUAUAAAGGAAUAAAACGAGGCACGUGUGCCUUUUUGCAUGUACUUUAUGAAUAAGGAUCGGCUAACUCCGUGCCAGCAGCCGCGGUAAUACGGAGGAUCCGAGCGUUAUCCGGAUUUAUUGGGUUUAAAGGGAGCGUAGAUGGGUUGUUAAGUCAGUUGUUAAAGUUUGCGGCUCAACCGUAAGAUUGCAAUUGAUACUGGAAGUCUUGAGUACAGUUGAGGUAGGCGGAAUUCGUGGUGUAGCGGUGAAAUGCUUAGAUAUCACGAAGAACUCCGAUUGCGAAGGCAGCUUACUAAACUGCCACUGACAUUGAUGCUCGAAAGUGUGGGUAUCAAACAGGAUUAGAUACCCGAGUAGUC